UGGGGAAUAUUGGACAAUGGGCGGAAGCCUGAUCCAGCCAUGCCGCGUGUGUGAAGAAGGCCUUUUGGUUUUAAAGCACUUUAAGCGAGGAGGAGGCUCUUCUAGUUAAUACCUAGGAUGAGUGGACGUUACUCGCAGAAUAAGCACCGGCUAACUCUGUGCCAGCAGCCGCGGUAAUACAGAGGGUGCGAGCGUUAAUCGGAUUUACUGGGCGUAAAGCGUGCGUAGGCGGCUGAUUAAGUCGGAUGUGAAAUCCCUGAGCUUAACUUGGGAAUUGCAUUCGAUACUGGUUAGCUAGAGUGUGGGAGAGGAUGGUAGAAUUCCAGGUGUAGCGGUGAAAUGCGUAGAGAUCUGGAGGAAUACCGAUGGCGAAGGCAGCCAUCUGGCCUAACACUGACGCUGAGGUACGAAAGCAUGGGGAGCAAACAGG
rnacentral:rRNA from 1 species